AUUGAACGCUGGCGGCAGGCCUAACACAUGCAAGUCGAAUGGUAACAGGAAACAGCUUGCUGUUUCGCUGACGAGUGGCGGACAGGUGAGUAAUGUCUGGGAAACUGCCUGAUGGAGGGGGAUAACUACUGGAAACGGUAGCUAAUACCGCAUAACGUCGCAAGACCAAAGAGGGGGACCUUCGGGCCUCUUGCCAUCAGAUGUGCCCAGAUGGGAUUAGCUAGUAGGUGGGGUAACGGCUCACCUAGGCGACGAUCCCAAGCUGGUCUGAGAGGAUGACCAGCCACACUGGAACUGAGACACGGUCCAGACUCCUACGGGAGGCAGCAGUGGGGAAUAUUGCACAAUGGGCGCAAGCCUGAUGCAGCCAUGCCGCGUGUAUGAAGAAGGCCUUCGGGUUGUAAAGUACUUUCAGCGGGGAGGAAGGGAGUAAAGUUAAUACCUUUGCUCAUUGACGUUACCCGCAGAAGAAGCACCGGCUAACUCCGUG
rnacentral:rRNA from 1 species